rnacentral:rRNA from 1 species
GACGAACGCUGGCGGCGUGCUUAACACAUGCAAGUCGAGCGGUAAGGCCCUUUCGGGGGUACACGAGCGGCGAACGGGUGAGUAACACGUGGGUGACCUGCCCUCAGCUCUGGGAGUAAGCCUGGGAAACUGGGUCGUAAUACCGGAUAUGACUCCAUGACGCAUGUUGUGGGGUGGAAAGCCUUGUGCGGCUGAGGAUGGGCCCGCGGCCUAUCAGCUUGUUGGUGGGGUGANGGCCUACCAAGGCGACGACGGGUAGCCGGCCUGAGAGGGCGACCGGCCACACUGGGACGUGAGACACGGCCC